rnacentral:lncRNA from 1 species
GCCAGCGAGGCCCACUCUCUGAGCGGGACAAAACACACACACACACACACACACACACACACACACACACUCACACUGGUAAUCAAGACAGAAUCUCCCUCGUAGGCCACAGUCAAAAGUGGGGAGGAGGGAGAGGGAGGAGAGGGUCGAGGGGGAAAAGGGGAGAGAGACACAGAGACUGAGAGACAGAGGCAGAGACAGAGAGGCAGAGGCAGAGACAGAGAGGCAGACCCAGAGACAGAGAGAGACAGAAAGAGAUAGAGAAACAGAAAGACAGAGAGAGGGAGAGCGCAACUAGUCUCUCUCAUCUCUCUCCUCACCCCACCCCCUCAACCCGGGGCCCUCUCCCCCACUUUCACUUUAUUUCCAUGAUUAGUGUGACCAAAAUUAAUGAAUUAAUGGCUCCUAAUCGGGGCUGGCACGGGGGAAGUUUAGUUUGUUACUUUUAUUGAUUGUUUUGGGCGAGGGGGGAGAGGGAGGAGGAGGUGGGGAGGCAGAGGAGUUUCGAGGCAGCGUCUCUGUCUCCCCUCGAGGUCUCCAAGCCCGGGUCCUCUCAGUCGGCAGCAGGAAGGGUGUGAACAGCACAAACGUGAUUUUAUACCUCAAGUGGGCAUACUAUCUCUCUGGCUUGAAGGGUGAAAGAGGAGUCCAGGAACAAGAGGUUUAUCCCAAUCACUUGGAUCUUCAAAGGUGGUUUCUUCCAGGUAUGCCUUCAAGCUUGUUGGAUUUCCGGAAGUUUGUGGCUCUUCCUGCACAUUUUACACUCAUGCAGUAGAACUUUGAGGUGGGCUUAGCCAGUGAGUAGUCCUGCAUAGUAGUAGGGGUGCUGGACAUAGGAC